rnacentral:rRNA from 1 species
AGUAAUGUCUGGGAAACUGCCCGAUAGAGGGGGAUAACUACUGGAAACGGUGGCUAAUACCGCAUAAUGUCUACGGACCAAAGCAGGGGCUCUUCGGACCUUGCACUAUCGGAUGAACCCAUAUGGGAUUAGCUAGUAGGUGGGGUAAAGGCUCACCUAGGCGACGAUCUCUAGCUGGUCUGAGAGGAUGAUCAGCCACACUGGGACUGAGACACGGCCCAG